rnacentral:rRNA from 1 species
CAGCCGUAAACUAUGCGCGUUAGGUGUACUGGUGACCACGAGUCACCGGGGUGCCGAAGGGAAACCGUGAAACGUGCCGCCUGGGAAGUACGGUCGCAAGGCUGAAACUUAAAGGAAUUGGCGGGGGAGCACAACAACGGGUGGAGCCUGCGGUUUAAUUGGACUCAACGCCGGACAACUCACCGGGGACGACAGCAAUAUGUAGGCCAGGCUGAAGACCUUGCCUGAAUCGCUGAGAGGAGGUGCAUGGCGUAGACGUCU